rnacentral:rRNA from 1 species
CGGCAACAGCUCAAAUUUGAAAUCGGGCACCCGUCCGAGUUGUAAUUUGGAGAGGAUGCCUCGGGGCAGCGGUCGGUCCAAGUCCCUUGGAACGGGGCGUCACAGAGGGUGAGAACCCCGUACGUGACCGGCUGGCACCCCAGACGUGGCUCC